GAUGAACGCUGGCGGCGUGCCUAAUACAUGCAAGUCGAGCGAACAGACGAGGAGCUUGCUCCUCUGACGUUAGCGGCGGCGGGGUAGUAACACGUGGUUAACCUACCUAUAAGGCUGGGCUAACUUCGGGAAACCGUAGUAAAUACCGGGUAAUGUAUUAGACCGCAUGGUUUAUUAGUGAAAGACGCUUUUGGAUGCACCUAUAUAUGAAUCGGCGGCGCAUUAGCUAGUUGGUAAGGUAACGGCUUACCAAGGCCACGAUGCGUAGCCGACCUGAGAGGGUGAUCGGCCACACUGGAACUGAGACACGGUCCAGACUCCUACGGGAGGCAGCAGUAGGGAAUCUUCCGCAAUGGGCGAAAGCCUGACGGAGCAACGCCGCGUGAGUGAUCAAGGUCUUCGGAUCGUAAAACUCUGUUAUUAGGGAAGAACAAAUGUGUAAGUAACUAUGCACGUCUUGACGGUACCUAAUCAGAAAGCCACGGCUAACUACGUG
rnacentral:rRNA from 1 species